UCCUCCGUUGGGCUCCCAGAUCCAUCUCAAAUCUCUCAUUUUUUUUCUUUCUUUUUUUUUUUUUUUUCCUUUUCCUUUGCUUUCUAUUUUUCUUUCUUCAAAUCCUCGCAGAUCUCCCUUUUUUUCCUUUUGCUUUUGGCUCUAUUUCCAUCUCAAAUCCCUUGCCAUCUCUAUUUUUUUUUUCUUUUUUCUCUCUAUUUCUUUUUCUUUUAUUGAACAAAUCUUACACCCUUUUUUUUUAAAUUGUUGCAGGUUUUGAUUGAAGAAAAACAAGAGCGGAAAACUUACAGACCAAAAACUCUAUAAAGAUAAGUGUUCCUUCUUAUUCUUUUGAUUUCUCCUUUUUCCUUUUUUUUUCUUUCAGUUUUCUUACACUUUAUGGAAUAAAAUCUGUGCAACUUUAUUAUAUUGGCCCGAACAAAAUGGGUGCCUACAUGCCCAGUGAAUAAUCUUAACUAAAAUAGAAUCCCUUGAUUUUAUUGCAAUUGACUUUUAAUUCUUUCCUUCUGUUCAUGCGAGCUUCAUUUAAAACAUUCUGGAGUCAACUUCCAUAGGCGAUCUGCAUUUGUGGUGCAGUAAACCGGGGCACAUUAGGAGGAACUGUCAUGAACCAUUGCCUAUUGCACCUAUACCAAACCAGAUCAGGGGAAAUCAGUGAGUACCCCGAGGUGGAGGUGGUCCAACACGAGUGUACUUGAUGAUCCCAAUUGAGACAGAUAUUGCCAAGGGCGCAGGACCGCCACGUGAUCGAACUUAGAGAGCUCGGGGCUGUUGUAGUGUUUUUUAGGGAGAGGGUAUAGACUUUUGGAUGUGUAUAUUUUUGGGUUUGUUUAUGUUUUCUGAGAUGUAUGAUUCUG